rnacentral:lncRNA from 1 species
AGAGGAUAGUAGAACACUUUACUAAUGUUUGAAGGAUAUAAAAUGUUUUAUUUGGAAAUAAUCACUUGAAUUUGGAACAACAUAAUCUCAACUCAAGGAAAACAGAGAUUGACAAUGCUUAGAAUAAAUCAUGUUCAAUUAACAUAAUACUGCCUAGGUCAGCUAUUAAUCUCAAUUUCUUUGGAUGAGUUUCCCAUAUAAGUGCUACAUAUUUGAAAAGACAGAUUAUAAAUUCAGGAUAAAACUAAUUGGCAAACUCUCUUUAGCAAGAUGAAGGUGAAAUUCUUCAGGCGAGUUAUGCUGAUUUUCAUAAUCUAAUGGGCUGAGGUGGGGAGAAUGAAGAACCUGAUUUUUGUUGAGCACCUACACAUGCAGGAACUCUACUGAGCUCUUUGUAUAUUUCUUUUAAUUUAAUUCUCACAAUUAGAUGAGGAAACUGAUACUUAAAGAGCUUAAAUUAUCUAAUAUCACAUGGCAAUUAAAUGUUGAAACUUUAAUAAUAAACUUCAGUGUGCAUCACUGUUAAGCAUAGCAUUUAUUUUCUCAUUUCCAUGUACUUGAUCUUUUAGUGAAAAAAAUCUAAAUAAAUUAAUGCCCUGGUCAUUCAAAACUAAUUAACAACUAUUGCUACUACAUGGACUGAAUGUUAUGCUAUAUGAAAUGUUUUAUAAAAUAUUUUUUCUUUUAUAAAACUUUUAUGUAUUUAUUUAUUUGAAAGGUAGAGUUACAGAGAGAGAGGGACAAACAGAGGAAGAGAGAGAUCUUCCAUCCACUGGUUCACUUUCUAAUUGGCUGCAAUACCCAGGUCUGGGCCAGGCUGAAGCUAGGAGCUAGGCCCUCCGUCUGGGCCUCCCACCCAGGUGGCAGAGACCCAAGUAUGUGGGCAAUCUUUCACUGCUUUCCCAGGCACAUUAGCAGGAAGCUUCACUGGAAGAGUGCAGUGGCUGGGACUCCAAGUAGCACUCAUAGGGGAUGUUGGCAUCAGAAGCAGGACUUAACUUGCUGUGCCACAAAGUUGGUCCCAAAAUCUUUUUCUUUUCCCGUAAACUAUUAGUCCAUGGAUCUAAUCAAGUAGAUUGUUGAAGGACUUCUGCCACUUUCCUUCUUAAGUGGUGAGACUUGAAAGGGUGACUUCUUUCCAUGGUUUUGUUGCCCAAUAAAAUAACUCACACCCACA